UACGUAGGGGGCAAGCGUUGUCCGGAUUUACUGGGCGUAAAGGGCGCGUAGGCGGGCCAUCAAGUCGAGGGUGAAAGCCCCCAGCUCAACUGGGGAAGUGCCUCCGAUACUGGUGGUCUCGAGGGAGAUAGGGGCGUGCGGAACUUCCGGUGGAGCGGUGAAAUGCGUAGAUAUCGGAAGGAACACCGGUGGCGAAAGCGGCGCGCUGGAUCUCUUCUGACGCUGAGGCGCGAAAGCCAGGGGAGCGAACGGG
rnacentral:rRNA from 1 species